UACAGAGGGGGCAAGCGUUAUUCGGAAUUAUUGGGCGUAAAGGGUGCGUAGGCGGGUUGUUAAGUCAGUGGUGAAAGCUCCGAGCCUAACUCGGAAACUGCCAUUGAUACUGACGAUCUUGAGUACAUUUGAGGUGGGCGGAAUGUGUCAUGUAGCGGUGAAAUGCUUAGAUAUGACACAGAACACCGAUUGCGAAGGCAGCUCACUAAACUGUAACUGACGCUGAGGCACGAAAGCGUGGGGAGCAAACAGG
rnacentral:rRNA from 1 species